rnacentral:rRNA from 1 species
GAUGAACGCUGGCGGCGUGCUUAACACAUGCAAGUCGAACGGAGAUGACAUUUUUGAAGCGAUUAGUUUACUAAGAGCGGAAAAGCUGUCAUCUUAGUGGCGGACGGGUGAGUAACGCGUGGGUAACCUGCCUCACACUGGGGGAUAACACUUAGAAAUAGGUGCUAAUACCGCAUAAGAAGGGAAGACGCAUGUCUAGCCUUUAAAAACUCCGGUGGUGUGGGAGGGACCCGCGUCUGAUUAGCCAGUUGGCGGGGUAACGGCCCACCAAAGCGACGAUCAGUAGCCGGCCUGAGAGGGUGAACGGCCACAUUGGGACUGAGACACGGCCCAA